rnacentral:rRNA from 1 species
UGAGGAAUAUUGGACAAUGGGGGCAACCCUGAUCCAGCCAUGCCGCGUGAGUGAAGAAGGCCUUCGGGUUGUAAAGCUCUUUCGGCCGGGAAGAAAUCGUAUGGGCUAAUACCCUGUGCGGAUGACGGUACCGGCAUAAGAAGCACCGGCUAACUACGUGCCAGCAGCCGCGGUAAUACGUAGGGUGCGAGCGUUAAUCGGAAUUACUGGGCGUAAAGCGUGCGCAGGCGGUUGUGUAAGACAGGCGUGAAAUCCCCGGGCUCAACCUGGGAACUGCGCUUGUGACUGCAAGGCUAGAGUACGGCAGAGGGGGGUGGAAUUCCACGUGUAGCAGUGAAAUGCGUAGAGAUGUGGAGGAACACCAAUGGCGAAGGCAGCCCCCUGGGUCGAUACUGACGCUCAUGCACGAAAGCGUGGGUAGCAAACA